CACGUUGUCAACCACGGCCUGACGCUGAGGGAGGCUGGACUGCGAGUACAGCCAAAUCUAAGCCGAUACACAGUGGCAAGUGUGAUAAGAACAUUUCGACUGGAAAAUAGGAUUGAGGGUCAGGAACGACAAGGGGGAAGGCCUCCUAUGUUCACAGAACAGCAAGAGAGGGAGAUAGUAAACAUGGUUUUGGCCAACAAUGCUAUAACACUCAAUCAGCUCCGAACUAACAUUAUCAAUAACCACGCCAGUUUCAACAAUAUCCAUCAGGUCUCAACAUCAACACUGGCACGCAUCCUAAAUAAAAACCAUAUUCAAAUGAAGCAAAUUUAUCGAGUGCCUUUCGAGCGCAAUUCCGAAAGGGUGAAACGACUGCGGCAUGAUUAUGCAGAGAGAGUUUUACGAAUGGAUGGAGAGGAGAUCCAGCAUGAGUUCAUUUACGUAGAUGAGGCUGGGUUCAACCUGACGAGAACACGAAGGAGGGGAAGAAACAUCAUUGGCCACAGGGCUAUAGUCAACGUCCCAGG
ensembl:lncRNA